UACGUAGGGUGCAAGCGUUAAUCGGAAUUACUGGGCGUAAAGCGUGCGCAGGCGGUUAUGUAAGACAGAUGUGAAAUGCCCGGGCUUAACCUGGGAACUGCAUUUGUGACUGCAUGGCUAGAGUUUGGCAGAGGGGGGUAGAAUUCCACGUGUAGCAGUGAAAUGCGUAGAUAUCAAGUGGAACACCAGUGGCGAAGGCGAGUCCCUGGAAAACUCCUGACACUGAGGCACGAAAGCUAGGGGAGCAAACAGG
rnacentral:rRNA from 1 species